rnacentral:rRNA from 1 species
UGGGGAAUCUUGGACAAUGGGCGCAAGCCUGAUCCAGCCAUGCCGCGUGGAUGAUGAAGGCCUUAGGGUUGUAAAAUCCUUUCGUGGGGGACGAUAAUGACGGUACCCCAAGAAGAAGCUCCGGCUAACUUCGUGCCAGCAGCCGCGGUAAUACGAAGGGGGCUAGCGUUGUUCGGAUUUACUGGGCGUAAAGCGCGUGUAGGCGGGUCGUUAAGUUGGGGGUGAAAUCCCGAGGCUCAACCUCGGAACUGCCUUCAAAACUGGCGACCUGGACCUAAGUAGAGGCAAGUGGAAUUGCGAGUGUAGAGGUGAAAUUCGUAGAUAUUCGCAGGAACACCAGUGGCGAAGGCGACUUGCUGGACUUAUGGUGACGCUGAGACGCGAAAGCGUGGGGAGCAAACAGGAUUAGAUACCCCUGUAGUCCCUGAGCGGGCUGGCAAGGCGCAU